GAGCUCGUGGUGUAAUUGGCAACAUACAGCUUCACAAAUGAGGUUGUGGUAACACUUCCUUCAUAGUUGGAAGGAGUUCUUGGUUCGAAUCCAAGCCUGCUCA